rnacentral:lncRNA from 1 species
GAAAUCUCUGUGAUAGGGAAGAAGAGAGACCGGACCUAAAGGCCCGCCGACACCAGUACUUUGGGUCCCUAACCUGCAACUCAGCACUCAGUCCAUCAUGGUCUAUGCUAGCCUCUGUGACUUCCCCAGGGCAGGAAAGUGACAGGUUUCUGUACAAGGGAGUCCAAGGUGCCUGGUUUAGAAUGGAGAGUUAGAGGGCAUCAGCAACGUUAAAGCCCCACAAGGGUCAAUGGCAGCCCAGGCAAAAUAGGAGCCUGAAGUGAAAAAACAAAAAUGGAACAAGGCAUUUGUUCUGGAGCACAUGACAUUGUCCUUCUGAGACAUUUCCACAAGUAUUCAAAGGAAGAUUUAAUGGGAAAUCAUUAUGCAAAAGAGUCAGUAAUAUAUUUUAGUUUGAAAAAGCACCGAGUGUGACGCCUGUCAAUUAUACCAUUUGCAAAGGUGAGUGAUGGUUGCCCUUACUGUUCCAAAAUGCAAAGAGAAACAAACAAACAAACAAACCAGCUACUCCUGUCCCGUACUCCAAACGCCAAGCAGAAAUGCUUCUGGGAAUUAGCAAUUGUGGACAAUUGGAGCUUCAUUCUUUAUGAAAAUUAAAAUGCUUCUUCUUUAUGUGCACUAGGAAAAUGUUCUGUCACUGAGCUGCAAAACCAGCACCAAACUUGAAAGUGUUGUGCAUCAAAGGAAAAAGACAGCCCAUAGAACGCGGGAGAAUAUUUGCCGGAAACGUGUCUGGUAAGGGAUACAGACUGUAUAAAAUGAAUAAGAGGGGCGAUAGGGAGUUCGUGUUUAAUGUUGAGAGCUUGGGACAGUUGAUGAAACGCUCCAGAGUGUUCUAGAGAUGAAUGAUGGUGAUGACCGCAUCAGUGUGAAUGUCCUUAAUGCCAUCAAAAAUUGGUUAUAAUGGCAAAUUUUAUGCUACAUAUGUUUUACUACAAUAAAAAUGCCAGGAAAAUC